rnacentral:rRNA from 1 species
CAAUAGCGUAUAUUAAAGUUGUUGCGGUUAAAAAGCUCGUAGUUGGAGUUCUGCCAGGUGCCGUCUGUCCGCCCCAGUGGUGAGUACGUGACGCGCAUUUGGCCCUUUCAAGGGGAGCGUAUCUGCACUUUACUGUGUGGUGCGGGAUCCUUGACUUUUACUUUGAGGAAAUAGGAGUGUUCCAAGCAGGCUCUCGUCGUGCACAGCUCAGCAUGGAAUAAUAGCAUUGGACCUCGAUUCUAAGCUGUUGGUUGCCAGAAGCGAGGUAAUGAUGAAGAGGGAUAGUUGGGGGCAUUCGUAUUUAACUGUCAGAGGUGAAAUUCUCGGAUUUGUUAAAGACGGACUACUGCGAAAGCAUCUGCCAUGGAUGUUUUCAUUGA